AUGCCCCGCCCCUCACGCAGCGCGCCGUCAGUGGGGUGGAAAGUGAGACCAACUCAGAAAUGGAGCAAUAGAGGCAGGGAGUGGUCUUGGCCUCUCUUCCAGGCUGUAGUCAGUCGAAAGACGGCUCUGGGGUUUCUUUGGCCUGUCGGGACGAACUUACAGAACUUUUGCCCUUCAACAAGCCCCACUGUACCCUUGUAACUGCCCCCAAGCCAAGGAACAUGACCCACCCCUACCCGCCCCGGGAGCCCCAUGGCUCCUGUCCUGUUCUGUCAUCUCCACCCUAUGAAGGUGGCCAGCGUCUGGAGUUUAGCCCAAUGGAGUCUUGCUGUGUUGCCUAGGCUGGAGUGCAGUGGCACCAUGUCGACUCACUGCAACCUCCGCCUCCCCGGUUCAAGCGAUUCUCCUGCCUCAGCCUCCUGAGUAGCUGGGAUUACAGGUGAGCACCACCAUGCCCAGCUAAUCGUAAAAGACUUUUCAUAAAACUUCAGAACUCCUUAAAAACUAGUGAAUAGCCAAGGUGAAGAAAGCCCUCAGGCUUCUGACUUUAGACCCCAAUCCCUGGGACUCCCACACUCAGCAAAGAAAGCUGGGUGCCUGCACCCUGGAUCUCUGAGCAAACCUGUCUUAUGGCUGUGGGCAACUCAGGAACAUGAAUUAGCACGAGAAUCUGGAGUUUUUCUUUCCUUUUCUGAGAGUUUCAUACGCAGACCUUAAGUAGACAUAGUAUCCAGCUAAAAGGGUCUCACUCUGUCACCCAGGCUGGAGUGCAGUGGCGCAGUCAUGGCUCCCUGUAACCUCAACCUCUCAGACUCCAGCAAUCCUCCUGCGACAGCGAAGUUAAUCUUCUGGUUCGGUUCACAAAGUGCAGGAGAGCCUACCAGCUUGAGAGAAAAGGAGUCAUGCUGUAUUUGUUUCCUUGAGUGAAUGGCCACUCAGCUGCUGUGUUUCUCCCUGCAUGUGGCUGAAGUUUACA
rnacentral:lncRNA from 1 species